CAGUCGCCACGGGAAUACGUAGGUGGCAAGCGUUGUCCGGAAUUAUUGGGCGUAAAGGGCGCGCAGGCGGUUUCUUAAGUCUGAUGUGAAAGCCCCCGGCUCAACCGGGGAGGGUCAUUGGAAACUGGGAAACUUGAGUGCAGAAGAGGAGAGUGGAAUUCCACGUGUAGCGGUGAAAUGCGUAGAGAUGUGGAGGAACACCAGUGGCGAAGGCGACUCUCUGGUCUGUAACUGACGCUGAGGAGCGAAAGCGUGGGGAGCGAACAGGAUUAGAUACCCCCGUAGUCCCUGUCUCUUAUAA
rnacentral:rRNA from 1 species